AUUGAACGCUGGCGGCAGGCCUAACACAUGCAAGUCGAGCGGAGCGGCGGACGGGUGAGUAAUGCCUAGGAAUCUGCCUGGUCGUGGGGGAUAACGUCCGGAAACGGGCGCUAAUACCGCAUCCUAUCAGAUGAGCAUAGUUCGGAGUAGCAAGUUGGUGGGGUAAAGGCCUACCAAGGCGACGAUCCGUAACUGGGCUGAGAGGAUGAUCAGUCAAACUGGAACUGAGACACGGUCCAGACUCCUACGUGAGUCAGCAGUGGGGAAGAUUGGACAAUGGGCGAAAGCCUGAUCCAGCCAUGCCGCGUGUAUGAAGAAGGUCUUCGGAUUGGAAAGCACUUUAAGUUGGGAGGCGUUACCAACAGAAUAAGCACCGGCUAACUUCGUGCCAGCAGCCGCGGUAAUUC
rnacentral:rRNA from 1 species